rnacentral:ncRNA from 2 species
GGCUUUUCCGAGGUGACUGGAAGCUAAUAAGCCUUACCUUGCUUUUUCAUUUAGAUUGACAAAGAAAUAGAGCUUCACAGAAUUCUUCAUCAUAAGCAUGUAGUGCAGUUUUACCACUACUUCGAGGACAAAGAAAACAUUUACAUUCUCUUGGAAUACUGCAGUAGAAGGUCAAUGGCUCAUAUUUUGAAAGCAAGAAAGGUGUUGACAGAGCCAGAAGUUCGAUACUACCUCAGGCAGAUUGUGUCUGGACUGAAAUACCUUCAUGAACAAGAAAUCUUGCACAGAGAUCUCAAACUAGGGAACUUUUUUAUUAAUGAAGCCAUGGAACUAAAAGUUGGGGACUUCGGUCUGGCAGCCAGGCUAGAACCCUUGGAACACAGAAGGAGAACGAUAUGUGGUACCCCAAAUUAUCUCUCUCCUGAAGUCCUCAACAAACAAGGACAUGGCUGUGAAUCAGACAUUUGGGCCCUGGGCUGUGUAAUGUAUACAAUGUUACUAGGGAGGCCCCCAUUUGAAACUACAAAUCUCAAAGAAACUUAUAGGUGCAUAAGGG